UAGUGUAGGCGGUUGCUUAAGUUUGGUGUGAAAUCUCCCGGCUCAACCGGGAGGGUGCGCCGAAUACUGAGUGACUCGAGUGCGGGAGAGGAGAGUGGAAUUCCUGGUGUAGCGGUGAAAUGCGUAGAUAUCAGGAGGAACGCCGGUGGUGUAGACGGCUCUCUGGACCGUAACUGACGCUGAGACACGAAAGCGUGGGUAGCAAACAGGAUUAGAUACCCUGGUAGUCCACGCCCUAAACGAUGCAUAUUUGGUGUGGGCCGUUCAGUCGGUCCGUGCCGGAGCUAACGCGUUAAAUAUGCCGCCUGGGGAGUACAGUCGCAAGGCUGAA
rnacentral:rRNA from 1 species